rnacentral:rRNA from 1 species
AGAGUUUGAUCCUGGCUCAGGAUGAACGCUGGCGGCGUGCCUAACACAUGCAAGUCGAGCGAGGGUUUGCUCAGUAUUGAGUAUUCUAAGUCUAGAAUGUUCAAUUCUGAGCAAAACCAAGCGGCGGACGGGUGAGUAACGCGUGGGUAACCUGCCCUAUACACAUGGAUAACAUACUGAAAAGUUUACUAAUACAUGAUAAUAUAUAUUUGCGGCAUCGCAGAUAUAUCAAAGUGUUAGCGGUAUAGGAUGGACCCGCGUCUGAUUAGCUAGUUGGUGAGAUAACUGCCCACCAAGGCGACGAUCAGUAGCCGACCUGAGAGGGUGAUCGGCCACAUUGGAACUGAGACACGGUCCAAACUCCUACGGGAGGCAGCAGUGGGGAAUAUUGCACAAUGGGCGAAAGCCUGAUGCAGCAACGCCGCGUGAACGAUGAAGGUCUUCGGAUCGUAAAGUUCUGUUGCAGGGGAAGAUAAUGACGGUACCCUGUGAGGAAGCCCCGGCUAACUACGUGCCAGCAGCCGCGGUAAUACGUAGGGGGCUAGCGUUAUCCGGAUUUACUGGGCGUAAAGGGUGCGUAGGUGGUCCUUCAAGUCGGUGGUUAAAGGCUACGGCUCAACCGUAGUAAGCCGCCGAAACUGGAGGACUUGAGUGCAGGAGAGGAAAGUGGAAUUCCCAGUGUAGCGGUGAAAUGCGUAGAUAUUGGGAGGAACACCAGUAGCGAAGGCGGCUUUCUGGACUGCAACUGACACUGAGGCACGAAAGCGUGGGUAGCAAACAGGAUUAGAUACCCUGGUAGUCCACGCUGUAAACGAUGAGUACUAGGUGUCGGGGGUUACCCCCCUCGGUGCCGCAGCUAACGCAUUAAGUACUCCGCCUGGGGAGUACGCACGCAAGUGUGAAACUCAAAGGAAUUGACGGGGACCCGCACAAGCAGCGGAGCAUGUGGUUUAA